AGUGCAAUUGCUGGAUUGUAUGGUAAGAGUAUGUUUAGUUUUGUAAGAAACCACCAAACUGUUUUCCAAAGUGGCUGCAUCAUUUUGCAUUCCCACCAGCAAU
rnacentral:pre_miRNA from 1 species